rnacentral:rRNA from 1 species
AUGAAUUUGCUCGAGAGCUUCGGCGACGCUACGAGCCUGAAGAUAAACAACGUCAAGUCAACGGCAACUCCGAUUUGCUGUCAAGACAUUGAUCUCAGCACGGUACUCCAGUCUUUUGGGGGACCGAUCAUGCAAUUCCCGAUCAGAUACCUAGGGCUUCCACUCACAAUUGGCCGGCUUAGGCUAGUACAUCUUCAGUUCAUCCUAGAUAGAAUUCGGGCUAGAUUAGCAGGCUGGAAAGGAAAAAUGCUCUCCAUGGCCGGGCGCAGGGUGCUC